ensembl:lncRNA
UCCCCUCUUUAAUAAUAGUAACACCGCUGCGUUAAUAAAGAGAUAGCAGAUUUCUGUAAUAAGGCUUUUCUGUGGAACUGUUUUUGUCUAGAUGGUGUGGGGUGAUGUUCCAUUCUACAGUGACGCAAGCAUCGUCAAAGCAACCCUCUACUUUCCACGUGGAAUAUCCAGAGAUUGCCGUCACCUGAUUCGCCGGUGCCUCGCUGUCAGUCCAGACGACCGGCCAACCCUGGAGCAGAUGCAGCAGCAUCCCUGGAUGCGAUAGAAUAGACUAUAUUUCAUCUAUAAAUGUCCUAAAUAAACAUGGCCAGCAUUCCUAUUCAUGUCAUCCCUGACUGAUAGUAGAUAAAACGAUAUAGCAAGGGGAUUCAAAUAUUACCCUACGAGGUUCAGAUUACUGCUGGUUUUCUACCUGAUAAUGAAUUACACACAGCUGAUGUCACAUGUUAAAAUCAGGGGUAAAAUGGGAAAAUAAAUCAGUGGAACUGGUUUAGAGGUCCAGAGUUGAAUUUGAGGGGUAUAUGGUAUUGAUGAAUAGAGGAGUUCGUUAUUUAUCGUCUUUUUGAGGCAUCAGAGUCCACCCAGCGCUGUUUUUUCAGGAACAUCACACUGCGCACGGUUCGCACGCGCUGAAGGUUGAACGGAGCUUUACACGAGAGGUGAGUUGUAGCUGCGCACAGACAAACCAGGACAUCCCAGAUUGUACCUUUAUGGCUGGUAUCAGGAUUAGCGUCUAGCUAGCAAGAACAAACUAACAAUGUGGCAAGCUCUAAUAACAGGUCUGUGAUCUGCAUUCAAGUGCACUCAACCACGAUCACGAGGAUGAUCAUAACACACCUCUUCUUGUAAUUAAUUGUAGGCUAGGCUAUUUGCUGGCAGAUUAUUUUAACAGUAGGCCUACCUACACAAUAACCUCACAUGGGGUUACUGACCCCCAUCCAUUGAAUUCAUAAUAAGAAGUGGUGAUUAUCUUGGGGAGAGACAGCACACAUGGAAGAAAACACAAGAAGGGCUGCAGAUUAAGUGAGAUACAAAUUACAUUUACUUUUCAUUAGCCUAUUGGUUGUAUUUAAAACAUGGGUCGUUCGUUUUAUUGAUCUCAGUAUGUAAAUAUCAGAGUAGCUGGUCAUUUGUUGUAAUAUUGUUGUAAUGUCUGCAGUCAUGUAAAAUUUAAAAAACACCUCCCCUUUUUUUAGGACCCACAAAACCUCAGCCCCUGGUAUUCAAGACUGAACCCUGAAACACCUCGGCCCCUGGUAUUCAAGACUGAACCCUGAAACACCUCGGCCCCUGGUAUUCAAGACUGAACCCUGAAACACCUCGGCCCCUGGUAUUCAAGACUGAACCCUGAAACACCUCGGCCCCUGGUAUUCAAGACGGAACCCUGAAACACCUCGGCCCCUGGUAUUCAAGACUGAACCCUGAAACACCUCGGCCCCUUGUAUUCAAGACUGAACCCUGAAACACCUCGGCCCCUGGUAUUCAAGACUGAACCCUGAAACACCUCGGCCCCUGGUAUUCAAGACUGAACCCUGAAACACCUCGGCCCCUGGUAUUCAAGAUUGAACCCUGAAACACCUCGGCGGCCCUCCUUUGUAAAGGACACCAGCAGUAUGGUCUCAGACCAGCUCCCCUCCUUUGUAAAGGACACCAACAGUAUGGUCUCAGACCAGCUCCCCUCCUAAAGGACACCAGCAGUAUGGUCUCAGAACAGCUCUCCUCCUAAAGGACACCAGCAGUAUGAUCUCAGAACAGCUCCCCUCCUAAAGGACACCAGCAGUAUGAUCUCAGAACAGCUCCCCUCCUAAAGGACACCAGCAGUAUGGUCUCAGAACAGCUCCCCUCCUUUGUAAAGGACACCAGCAGUAUGGUCUCAGAACAGCUCCCCUCCUAAAGGACACCAGCAGUAUGGUCUAAGAACAGCUCCCCUCCUAAAGGACACCAGCAGUAUGAUCUCAGAACAGCUCCCCUCCUUUGUAAAGGACACCAACAGUAUGGUCUCAGAACAGCUCCCCUCCUAAAGGACACCAGCAGUAUGGUCUCAGAACAGCUCCCCUCCUAAAGGACACCAGCAGUAUGGUUUCAGAACAGCUCCCCUCCUAAAGGACACCAGCAGUAUGAUCUCUAUUAUUGAAUCUCUUGAUCCUCUCCCGGAGAAUACUUUGUUAGUUACUUUUGAUGUCGAUUCGUUGUUAUGCGAUUUUUAAAAAAAGAAUAAUGACUAAAUGAGGUAUACGGCACUAUAACGGGCAAGAAAUCUACCCUGUCUUUCUUGUCGUGUUAAAUAAUGUUUGUUCAUAAAUAAUGUUUGUUCAUUAGGAAGGGGUUCUAUGGCAUGUACCUAGGAAGAAAUGUAUGUACCUGUAUGUACCAUGUACCUAGGAAGAAAGGAAUGUAUGUGGAGAUAAGAGAGGACAGGGAGAGCCCCUCCAGAGCUCUGGGGGGGGCUUGGAACUGUCAGCUGAGGGGUUAUAAACUGUGAUGAGACUCAUGAGAAAAUCCCUAUGUUGGUGUGUAUGUAUGUGCGUAGGUUAGGAUGGUAUAAGAAGGAAUGUAUUUGUGAAAACUGGAGAGCUCUCGCAAAUAAAUCGGGAUCUGAUCAAUUGUGAGCUGGGAAUUCUGUCUGUUUUAUUUUAAGACCAGGACUUCACAACCUCUGGGUAUCAAACAGAUACACAUAAAUUGGAAUCUUUGAACAUUGAUUACAAAAUGACUUAACAGUCGUUUAACACAAAUAAAUACAAAUUCUCUCCACACGAGGGCGGUAUUGGCGCUAUGGAACAUCUUCUUCUACAACGUGACCCUAAUGAACUACCUUCCACUGCAUGCAUUAUAACAUUGUCUGAAAUAGUACUCACACACAAC